rnacentral:rRNA from 1 species
GACAGAGGGUGCAAACGUUGCUCGGAAUCACUGGGCGUAAAGGGCGUGUAGGCGGGAAGGAAAGUCAGAUGUGAAAUCCCCAGGCUCAACCUGGGAACUGCAUUUGAAACUCCCUUUCUUGAGUACCGGAGAGGAAAGUGGAAUUCCUGGUGUAGAGGUGAAAUUCGUAGAUAUUCGGAAGAACACCAGUGGCGAAGGCGACUUACUGGACACGUAUUGACGCUGAGGUGCGAAAGCGUGGGGAGCAAACAGG